AGCAGCCGCGGUAAUUCCAGCUCCAAUAGCGUAUAUUAAAGUUGCUGCAGUUAAAAAGCUCGUAGUUGAAUUUCGGGACCGAUAUAUCGGUCGUGCCUCGGUACGUACUGGUAUUUUCGGUUUCUCCCUUCUGACGAACCUUGAUGUCAUUAAUUUGGUGUCUUGGGGAAUCAGGACUGUUACUUUGAAAAAAUUAGAGUGUUUAAAGCAGGCUCACGCUUGAAUACAUUAGCAUGGAAUAAUGAAAUAGGACGUUUGAUUCUAUUUUGUUGGUUUCUAGGAUCGACGUAAUGAUUAAUAGGGAUAGUUGGGGGCAUUAGUAUUCAAUUGUCAGAGGUGAAAUUCUUGGAUUUAUUGAAGACUAACUACUGCGAAAGCAUUUGCCAAGGAUGUUUUCAUUAAUCAAGAACGAAAGUUAGGGGAUCGAAGACGAUCAGAUACCGUCGUAGUCUUAACCAUAAACUAUGCCGACUAGGGAUCGGAUGGUGUUAAUUUUUAAUGACUCAUUCGGCGCCUUACG
rnacentral:rRNA from 1 species